rnacentral:rRNA from 1 species
AUGGCAGCAUUGUCCACCGGCGCCUCCUCGUCGUCGCAGGCAAUGGUGGUACCCCGCCAGGGCUUCUCCACUGAAGCGUCUUCCUCCUCGCCCUCGUCGUAAUGGGCUAGCCAGGCCCGAACGAAAGCCCCUUUUUCUACUAGUGACGUGCUUAACCUGGACUCGCCGUGGGUGGCGGCGGCCGAGGCGGAAUCUAGGCUGCAGGAGGCCGCCACUACGGAGAGAAUUCACCUUCGCGCCGAGCAGGAGGAAGAAGAGGGGAUAAGAGUCAACCAAGAGCGACAGCAGGACGAGCUGAUGGCAUUGGAAGCAAUAUAUGGGGAUGAUCUGGUUGAAUUUGGCAAAAAAGGAGGGCUCGACUGCUUCCAGAUCUACAUACACUAUGACUUGCAUCAUGGCGCUCAAGUGUGCGCUAAGUUUUCUUCUGCCGACGGAGAAUGCCCCCAUAAUGGUACAGAAGAUGAUGGUGAUGAACCAGAGGAAUACUCUUGCACAUGCAACCUUGACUACUUGCCUCCAUUAGUAUUGACAUGCUUACUUCCACAGUCGUAUCCUAGCAAAGACCCCCCAUAUUUUACAAUCACUGCCAAAUGGAUGGAUGGAUCUCAAGUUUCUCAGAUAUGUGCGAUGCUCGACGAUAUCUGGGCACAACUCCCAGGGCAGGAAGUGGUAUAUCAGUGGGUUGAGUGGAUCCGCAAUUCGUCACUGUCACACCUCUGGAUUGAUGGCAAAAUAAUAUUAGGUCUAGAGAGUCGAGCGAAGAAACCAGAUAACCGUGCUAUCUCAAGAGGCCUCCCACUGGAUUAUCUAAUCCCUUCGAUGCUCAGAUACAGUAGUAAGAAGCGUCGUAAAGCUUUUCUUGAAGAUCUUCAUAUGUGCAUGAUAUGCCUUAACGAGAGCAAUGGUUCAAACUUCAUCCAGCUGCCAUGUGAGCACUUGUUUUGUGUCAAGUGCAUGGAGACCUUAUGCAGGAUGCAUGUGAAGGAAGGUAGUGUGUUUCGAUUGGUGUGCCCCGACACCAACUGCAACUCUUCUAUUCCAUCACAUCUACUAAAGAAUCUUCUUAGGGAAGAAGAAUUUGAACGCUGGGAUAGGCUUGUUCUUGAGAAAGCAUUGGCCUCGAUGUCAGACGUUGUUUACUGUCCAAGGCGUGGGAUUGCUUGCUUGGCCGACGAGGAUAAUAGUGUGCAAUGUCCAAAAUGUUCCUUUACAUUCUGCUCAGUUUGCAAGGACCCGCGCCAUCCGGGGAAACCGUAUUUAAUUCCAGAACAAAAGCUCCAGCAGCGGCAGGCAUCAGGCAAGUUAACUGCGAGGGAGAUGGUGCAGGAAAUGCUAAUGAUCAGAAAGCUGUACAAGGAUGCUAGAGCAUGCCCAUACUGCCGAGUGGCCAUUAUCAAAACCGAAGGGUGCAACCACAUGUAUUGUGUGAACUGUGGUAAGUCAUUCUGCUUCCGUUGUGGCAAGGCCUUGGGUGGUGGCACUUUUGAUCAUUUGAGCAAAUGCGGGAUGUAUGCGCAACGAGAAGAUGACACAAAUGAUUUGCAGAAGCGACUCAAAGAACUACAAACGAUGGAACGAAGGGCUCGAAAGCACUCGGUAGGUAGCACCGUAGAAUGCCCAAAAUGCCAUCGGAAAAUUUACAAGGAUGAUGAUGAAUAUAUUUACUGCUGGCAUUGCCAAGCCAGGUAUUGUACGCUGUGCCAGAAGCAGGUCCAGUUUACAAAGCAACAUGGGGCAGGGGGGCACUGGGGAUCACCGGAAUGCGUGGGGCUAGCCAAUGUGUUAUAA